rnacentral:precursor_RNA from 1 species
UGAGGACCGUAUUCAUGGAAGAGGAUUGAACAGUAAAGAGCCCAGGAUUUGAUAAAAAUGAGAAUAUAUCGCCUCAAGCAGAAGCAGAUGAAUAUAUGGGAGAUGAAGUAGACAGUAUGUUGGAUAAAUCUGGAGUAAAGAACCCAGCAAUUGGUAAAGAUGAGAAUAUAUCGCCUCAAGUAAAAGGAGAUGAAGACAUGGGAGAUGAAAUUGACAGUAUGUUGGCUACAUCUGGAGGUCUUUUCUCCUGAGAACACGGGACUCCAGCAUCUUCGGAUUCUGCUCUUGGAGGGGUUUGCCCCACAUCCUCUAUAUUGCAGAAAACAGGACUAGGCUCUACCUCUGUAGAUCAAGCACGACUGAAAUCCGUGCUCUCAAAAGAUGCUGGGGAGAAAGAGUGCCAUUCUUCACAAAUGCUGCUACAUCAUUGGACUGAAAGUGAAUGGCCCAUGUGUUGCCACUGAUGUGAGCCAUUUGCCUGUUGUGCUUCA